CAUUCAGUAAACAUUUUAACCUUACCUGCCAGCCUGUUUUUGUAUUUGGUCACAUAGACGUUUUCUAUCCCUGAUCUGAGAAGUGCCCGAUGAAGUGACCAAUCAGCGCAGCUUUAGUGUUUUGAAAAUGUAACACAGUUCAUUUACUCAUGAUUUUAGUUUGUGUGAAAAAUCAGCCUUGUGUGUUACAUGAAUAGAGGGAUGUUCAUUUUUUAUGCAAGUCAGUUCUCCUGUGGGAACGGGGAGAUGAGAGACUCGAGGUCAAUCUGGGCUAAGCCCCGCUGGUGCCAGCGGACCCCCGGUUCCCCCGACAGACCCCGAGACAGUGCUGACAUCAGACCCAGGUCAAAUACUGAAGAAGUAAUGACAUCAGCCACGAGCCCUGGGUGUCCAUCUUGCAAUUAUCAAAUCCUGCAGUCUCUUACGGCGACGCCGAUUAGGACGCCAGUCUGGGCUCUGUGGCUGCUGUCAGAGUCUCCAGAACAGAGCACUGAUUUGUUCCUUUCUCUUGUCCAGACCUCAACAACAGCUUCAGAGGCCACAGAGGUGGAGACUCAGGAUGGAGGGAGUGCGUAGUAAGCCAGAGACCGUAUCAGCCAGUCCUGGAACCCCACUUACAGACACCACAGAGAAGACAAGGGGCCAGACUGAUUCUUUCCUUACUGCAGCUCGGCUUGUCCGCAGAGGAUGGACGGAGGAGGGGAACGAGACAGGGGGGCAAUUUUCCCAUUUUGACUGCUACAUACAUCAACCCUCUCUCUCCAGGUCAGAUGAAAAUCAGGGUCCAAACCAGGUUGAAAAGGACCCCUGGAGCAGGUGGGAUCCUGUUGUGAACAACAGGAAGAUCUCUGAGGAGAGAGUGACAGGCAUCGUGUAUGUGUGGAUGCCUGGAUGUCGUAUCACACGCAGACAGUCCAGGAGAUUUAAGGCCCCACUAUUACCAGUCAUUGCUGAGAUAUAGGCUAGCUGCCAUUUGCACCACAGUGAAUUAAAGGCACAUGCACAUAACACUUGGCUGUGCUUCUUCUUUGUUAGAAUAAUGGUAUUAGAAUUUUGCCUAUAGUCAUAUCCAUGUUUAAAUGGUGGACACUGAUGGCAUUAAUUCGUGUGAUUAAAGGAAGAGGUGUGCAUAUAGUGUCAUGUUUAUGCUGAUUUUGUUCUAUUCAUUAAAAUGCAAAUACUUACAAAUGUAAAUGUGGGUUGGUGUUCUGAUCUUGUAAGUACAUUUAAUUAUGGGUACAAGAAAAUCAUUCCAUAGUGAUUAAAGGGCUUUGUUAACCUGAUGGAUAUUUGGUGC